GGGGGUGGUGGGUCGCCGUUUCAUCAGAAGCCGGAGGACGGGCGCCAGGGGGCAACUUCCUACAGGAGGGCGUCCCGUUAGAAUGACAGGGCUUUUGCAAAAGUCUGACACCCGUGGCACAGAGCGCCCCAGAUAUGGAGGGUUUCACAGUUGACUCUUGAACAAUGUGGGGGCUUGGGGCACCAACCCCCUGUGCAGUUGAAAAUCGACAUAUAACUUUGACUCGCCAAAAACUUCACUACAAUAGCCUGCUGCCAACCUGAAGUCUUACCAAUAACAUCAACAGUCAAUUAAACAUAUUACUAGGCUGAAAAGGAGAAGGAAGUGAAGGGGUUGGUCUUGCCGUCUCACGAGUGGCAGAGGCAGGAGAAAAUCCAAAUAUGCUUGGUCAGGACUGAGGAUGUGUAGUGGACAAGCCAGGAUUGCUGCAGUGAUGUGCUCACCAUUGGAGAGAGGAAUGACUGUCAACAAAUCACUACAGGCCCAUAUGUUAAGUUCUUUAAUAGUACGGUGACUGGAACUACGGGACGGAACCCAAAAUGCAGUCACCCAAACGCAUCAUGUCCAUUUUGAUCCCUACAGCAAUUAAGCCUUGCUUUCACAGCCGCUGAAGCAGACCAACAGAUGGUUGUUUAAUUGUUUAUAAAACCAAACAUUAACUACUGGGCUUGGCAACGUAUCUCUUCUCCUGAAGCCUCUCAAAGCAGAUAUCAGACAACACUCUGGAAGAUGCUGAGAAACAUCAAAAGAUCAAAGGUCGAAUCUUGGAAUUCAGAUCUGUCAUUGACCUGCCUUAUAACUUCUGUCAAACUGCAAUGUGGUGAGAUUGUUCACAUGUUUCACAGCAGUGUUGCAUGGAAUGACUAAUGGCCUUCAGUUGGUUCCUGUGUAGAUGGUAAAAUGGAAAGCUGUUCACAAAACCCCUUUCUAGCAAAGAUGCGUCUCUGCCAAGUCACAUAUGUUGGCCAGAGGUGUGUUUAGGGAACUUGGCCCUCUUCAGAAAAAUACAGUCUCCUUGUUCCUGGCCAGAUUUUAAUGUUGCUCUACCUUUUAGCUUAUGAAGCUUCAGGCUGUCUGUACAAAUGCUGUCUGUUUUAAUAGAGUGCUAAUUGCAGUAACGGGCAGGGCACUUAUGUCUGUAAUCAUCACAUCAACGCCACUUGGCUUAAUCCUUGAAAAUGGACAACAAGCUAUUACUAAACCAUAAAAAUCACAAAUUGUGCGUGCUGACCUAGAGACACCUCCAAUCAAUGAGAAGCAGCCUGAGAGCCACCAAAGGCUCUUCAAUGUCCAGCUGUCACCGACAUUCCCCAAGAACUUCAAAGAUUUUAAAGGCCACCAUUUCCAUGCACGUGUCUCUUGGCGUUGCUGCUGUUUACACUAUGUGGAAGCUGGACACUCAGCCUGUUUCGGGGGGACCCAGGCUAAAGGUUCUGCCCUAGGUGUGGAGAAAACGAAUACAGCAGGGAUGACUUCCACCAGCUCCACUUUGCAGCUCUGAGGUGUAUUAAAAAUGACCUGGAAGAAGUCAUGCCACGGGCCAGACCUUAACAUUCCUUUCGGCUUACCCCAGGAUUUCAGACGAAGCUUCACUUUCCUAACCAGUCACAAAUCAGAGAAUUUUUGAUUCCACCUAUGACCUGUGAGCUCCUGCUUCAAGAUAUUCCACCUUUUUUAGGCCAAACCAAUGUAUAACCUCCAAGUGUCGAUUUACACUUUCGACUGUAACUUCUGCUUUCCUGAGAUUUACCCCUGCCUUUAAAAACCCUUGCUUGUAAUCCCUCAGGGAGGCCGUGUAUUUAUUAAUCAUGAGCUGCCCAAUUCUCCUUGCUUGGUGCCCUGCAAAUAAACACCCUCUUUUCUCCCACUGCAAAA
ensembl:lncRNA PPP1R3B-DT PPP1R3B divergent transcript